rnacentral:rRNA from 1 species
GACGAACGCUGGCGGCGUGCCUAAUACAUGCAAGUAGAACGCUGAAACUUGGUGCUUGCACCGAGCGGAUGAGUUGCGAACGGGUGAGUAACGCGUAGGUAACCUGCCUGGUAGCGGGGGAUAACUAUUGGAAACGAUAGCUAAUACCGCAUAAGAGUAGAUGUUGCAUGACAUUUGCUUAAAAGGUGCAAUUGCACCACUACCAGAUGGACCUGCGUUGUAUUAGCUAGUUGGUGGGGUAACGGCUCACCAAGGCGACGAAACAGAGCCGACCUGAGAGGGUGGGCAGCCACACUGGGACUGAGACACGGCCCAGACGCCUACGGGGGGCAGCAGUAGGGAAUCUUCGGCAAUGGGCGGAAGUCUGACCGAGCAACGCCGCGGGAGUGAAGAAGGGCGUCGGAUCGUAAAGCUCUGUUGUAAGGGAAGAACGAGUGUGAGAGUGGAAAGUUCACACUGUGACGGUAUCUUACCAGAAAGGGACGGCUAACUACGUG